GGCUCUUUAAAAGAUGAUCCUGUCAUGGGAGCUCCACCCUUGUGAAUGGGAAGGUUCUUAUGAAAGAGGCUUCACUCUGCACUCAGCUUUCUUGUCCUUCUAUCUCUGCUUUGUGAGGACACCGUAUCCUUCUCCUACAAAGAAUGCAGCAACCAAGUAUCUUGGAAUCAGAGAGCAGCCCUGACCAGAUAACCAAACACGCCAGUGCCUUGACUUUGAACUUUGCAGCCUCCAGAACUCACAUACAAUAAAAUUUGCAAUGUACAGGGAAGAUUAACUGACCCGCUGCACGAAGAUGACACACAAAUUUAUGAAGAUGGUUCUUUUUAUUUUCCUUAAAUUUUAGGGAUGGCUUCUCAGUGUGUUGCCCAGGCUGGUCUUGAACUCCUGGCCUCAAGCAAUGCUCCCACCUUAGCCUCCAAAAAUGUUGAGAUGACAGGUGUGAGCCACCACACUCAAUUGCUUAAUGUAUUUUAAUCAUAAAAUGAAAUCAGUAAUUUUCACAUCUUUGUUAUUUAAUAUGUGAAAGAAAGGGAUUUCUGCAGAUAAGAGUAAUUUUUCAAAACAAUAAUAAAUAUGAAUUAAAUUAUAUCAAUCAUACAGCUGAAAAUAAGUAAAAUUAAAUGUCAGAUUAUCUAAAAUCAUCAAUAUAUUCAGUGAAUAUCAAUGAUUAUAAGUGUUUGUUGAUUUUAAAAUCUGAGUGUUAUGUGUAAAAUUUAAGAAAAUACAUAAUAGUGCCUUAAGUAUUAUAAAUUCUAAUAGCAUAUUUUGGGAAAUAAAGUUAAAACUAUUAAUUGCUGAGUUUACAGUAUAUAACCUCAGUGGAUGAUAAUGAGAGAUUAGAUUAUUGUGGAAUAUGAGAAUAUGUAUAAAAGUCAGAAAGAAAUAUUUUUAGCUGAUAUUCUUAAUAGUUAAGGGGUAGGUUUAUUAUUUUCCAUAAGUGGAUUAGUGGAGAUUUUUGCAAAAAUAUAAAAGUAAAGAUAUCACUACUACUGCAAUUAUUUUGCAUUUCUAUAAUGUCUUUUUAUUGAAACACUUAUAAAUCCUAUAAAACAAGUACUGGUACAUGUUCUCUAUAAAAUAAAUGAAUAUGGUUCGUAAGACUGUCAAAUUCCUUUAUAACCUCACGAUACCUUAUAGAGUGGCUGUUACUCUUUCAAUAGGAAUAGCUAUGGUUCAUAGGAUUUAUGGGUAAUCUAUACUGCUGUGGUAUCUUGGGAGUGAUAGCUCCUUUAGAUAUUUUAUCUUCUGUUAUAACCCUUACAAAUAACACAGUUUAUUUUCAUGAGGCUUGAAAUAGCCAUAGCUAAUUUCAAAAGAAUUUACUUCCUGUGGUUGUAAUACUUUAUUAUAGAAAGUACUGUACAAAGAAGUUACAGUUUGAGUGACAGUUAAUUCUCACAUAUGUAUAAAAUAUAUUCCAUGUUAAUUAACUUACUAUUUUUUUUCCCUUGGCAUAGUGUUAUGUACCAUGAGGGUAGACUUAUAACCAUUAAACAUUUUAACUUUCUUCCAUAGUAUUGUGUGUGUAUGUGAAUUUGUAUGCAAUUAAAAUAAAUCAAUACAGUGAUGCAGGGUACAUUCUGGUCGACAUGUGUCUUAUUUUAGAUGAAUUGAAAUGACAAGCGUGAUAAAACUAUUUACAUUUUAUCUCAAAAUAUUUUAUUCCAUUUCCUUUUCAUAGACAUAAUACAUUUACUAAAAUAAAAAUAUUGACAAAAUGUUAUUCAUAUUCUCAGAAAAUGUUAAAACAUACAUUGGCACUUUUGUGGAGCAUCAUUUCUGCAAAAUGAAGUAAAAGUUGAUGUUCACGUUUUUGUCAUUAAUGAAAUCAUUUAUCCAGAAAAGUUUGUAAAGAAAAAUAAUGGGUAUAUGCAAACCUGCAAAGCAAAGUUAUUCAAUAAUACAGGCCUUGGAUAUGCGGUUGUAAGGCAAGAAAUCAUACUUAUUAUUGCCCUACUCUGAAAACAUUUCAGGUUGAAAUUAUUUAUAGUAUUCUAAUUGCUACUGCUAGGUUACACUUAACUAUCUAUAGAAAAAUCCAAAUAUUUUACAUCACAUAAUUACUCGGCACAAAAAUACCAAAGUUCUUGUCCAAAAUACGUAUUUCCUUUUAUCGCUUGGGGGAAUACUAUAGGACAAUUUUUAAGUACAGUUUCCUAAACAUGACCAAAAACAUGUUUAAGUCCUUAUUUUUGCUCACAUUACGUGUUUUUUUGUUCUUUUUCCCCUAGAUUUAUUGUAUAGUUGAGAAAUUAAAAAUGCAUUUAUUUACUGUGUGCCAUGUGAUGGUGUGCACCAUUCCCAUAGGUUUCUUUUUGUUAUUGUGAGAACAUUUAAGAUCAAUCCUCCUAGCAAAUGUCAAGUAUACAAUAUAGUAUAACUUACUAUAGUCACCAUGAUGACUUUAAAGUUCUAGAACUUGUUCACUCGUUCAUUCUGUUAAACCGAAUAUUUGUAUCCUUUGACCAGCAUCCACCCCAUUCUCUCCACCCUCUAAUCCCUGGUAACCCCCAUUCUACUCUGUUUUCUACGAGUUAAAAUGUUUUAGGUUGCACAUAUAAGAGAGAUGGGCCGGGUGCAGUGGCUCAUACCUGUAAUUCCAGCGCUUUGGGAGGCCGAG
rnacentral:lncRNA from 10 species